rnacentral:lncRNA from 1 species
CAAAAUUGGGGCAUCCAGGAACCCCAAAAUAGGGCAGCGGGACCCUAAAAUGAAAGACGGGACCGCAAAAAGGAAAUGGGAUCCUAAAUGGGUCACCGGGACCCCAAAUGGGGGAUGGGAGCCCCAAAAAGGAGAUGGGGCCCCAAAAUGGGGGGAUGGGACUCCAAAAUGGGGGGAUGGGACCCCAAAAAGGAGAUGGGACCCCAAAAUGAGAGAUGGGACCCCAAAAUGGGGGGAUGGGACCCCAAAAAGGAGAUGGGACCCCAAAAUGAGAGAUGGGACCCCAAAAUGGGGGGAUGGGAUCCCUAAGUGGGGGAUGGGACCCCAAAUGGGGGAUGGGACCCCAAAAAGGAGAUGGGAUCCUAAAUGGGUCACCGGAACCCCAAAUGGGGGA